AUUGAACGCUGGCGGCAUGCCUUACACAUGCAAGUCGAACGGCAGCACGGGUGCUUGCACCUGGUGGCGAGUGGCGAACGGGUGAGUAAUACAUCGGAACAUGUCCUGUAGUGGGGGAUAGCCCGGCGAAAGCCGGAUUAAUACCGCAUACGAUCUACGGAUGAAAGCGGGGGACCUUCGGGCCUCGCGCUAUAGGGUUGGCCGAUGGCUGAUUAGCUAGUUGGUGGGGUAAAGGCCUACCAAGGCGACGAUCAGUAGCUGGUCUGAGAGGACGACCAGCCAAAAUGGGACGGAGAAACGGCCCAGACUCCUAGGGGAGGCAGGAGUGGGGAAUUUGGGAAAAGGGGGGAAAGCCUGAUACAGAAAUGCCGGGUGGGGGAAGAAGGCCUUGGGGUUGUAAAGCACUUUUGUCGGGAAAAAAAUCCUGGGCCCUAAAACGGUGGGGGGAUGACGGUACCGGAAGAAAAAGCACCGGCUAACUACGU
rnacentral:rRNA from 1 species